GACGAACGCUGGCGGCGUGCUUAACACAUGCAAGUCGAACGAUGAACCGGAGCUUGCUCUGGGGAUUAGUGGCGAACGGGUGAGUAACACGUGGGCAACCUGCCCCAGACACCGGGAUAACCAUUCGAAAGGAUGGCUAAUACCGGAUACGACCACUUCGGGCAUCCGAUGGUGGUGGAAAGGAUUCUGGUCUGGGAUGGGCCCGCGGCCUAUCAGCUUGUUGGUGGGGUAAUGGCCUACCAAGGCGACGACGGGUAGCCGGCCUGAGAGGGCGACCGGCCACACUGGGACUGAGACACGGCCCAGACUCCUACGGGAGGCAGCAGUGGGGAAUAUUGCGCAAUGGGCGAAAGCCUGACGCAGCGACGCCGCGUGAGGGACGAAGGUCUUCGGAUUGUAAACCUCUUUCAGCAGGGAUGAAGCGAAAGUGACGGUACCUGCAGAAGAAGCACCGGCUAACUAUGUGCCAGCAGCCGCGGUAA
rnacentral:rRNA from 1 species